rnacentral:rRNA from 3 species
ACUAGAGUACUAUGAAUGGUUGUAAAUUUAAAACUCAAAGAACUUGGCGGUGUUUUAGACCACUUAGGGGAACCUGUCUCGUAAUCGACAAUCCACGUUGUACCUGACCUUUUUUGUUUUCAGUUUGUAUACCGUUGUCGUCAGGUAACUUUUUAGAAAGUAGGAGUUGGCUGGAGAAAUAAGGAUGAUUUAAUACGUCAAAUCAAGGUGCAGCUAAUAAAAAGGGGAGGAUGGGUUACAAUUAUAUAUUUAUAAUUACGGAUGAUUGUGUGUAAACGUGAUCUGUGAAGGUGGACUUAAAAGUAAAUUAAAUUAUAGGAAUAAUUUGAAUGAGGCUCUGAAACGUGU